GCUGCCUGCCCUGCUGCCCUCUCUGUCUCAAGUUUCAACAACCCACAAGUUUUAUCUCUCUUUCUCUCAACAAAUCGAUUUCUCACUCUCGACAAAAUCCGUUCUCUGUCUCUCAAGGCGGCCAACCUUCCGACGGAGAAUCCGACGAUAUCCAAACAAAUCUAAGAAACCCACGACGGCGAUUCCAACCUUCCGAUUGAAGGAUUUGGAUUUUGGAUCUGGAAACUGUUGCAAAAUAAGCUCAGUUGGUAGAGCGGAGGACUGUAGUCGUUUGCAGCUUAAUCCUUAGGUCGCUGGUUCGAAUCCGGCAGGAAGGGAAAUUAUCGAUCCAAUUCCACUCCUCCUAGACAGCACUGUUCAUCGGCUACUACGUUGCGCACUGUUAAUUUCUCUUCUCAUCCACGGGCCCAAAUAAAUUUAAGUUAGGUCAGAAUCUGUGUUGUUCGAUACACGAAUUGUUUCAAAGGAAUCGGAUUCCAGCACCCGGCUUUCAUAGUCUCGCCAAUUGCCACCUCCGCCGGCGUCGGACGCAGGGAGCUUGAUCUUUGCUCUACAUAAAAUGGCAAACACUUUGCGCUUGUAUUUGACGUGCAUACGGAACACUCUUGAGGCUGCGAUGUGCCUUCAGAAUUUUCCUUGUCAAGAAGUUGAAAGACAUAACAAGCCAGAGGUUGAACUAAAGACCAGCCCGGAACUUCUUCUCAAUCCUAUCUCAAUAUGUAGAAAUGAAUCAGAGAAGUGUUUGAUUGAGACAUCUAUAAACUCACUUCGCAUAAGUCUCAAGGUUAAGCAGACAGAUGAACUGGAGAACAUUUUAACUAAGAAGUUCCUUCGAUUUUUGUCAAUGCGGGCAGAAGCUUUUAAGGUUCUGAGACGAAAACCCGUACAGGGAUAUGAUAUUAGCUUUCUCAUCACAAACUAUCACUGUGAGGAGUUGCAGAAGCAGAGACUCAUUGAUUUCAUUGUACAAUUCAUGGAGGAUAUUGAUAAAGAGAUCAGUGAACUUAAAAUGUCCGUGAACACUCGAGGAAGGCUCGUAGCAUCAGAGUUUCUAAAGCAAUUCACUUGACGUCUCUAGUAUAAUACUAGUAUCUUGUUCCAUCAUCGGAAACUGGGAUUCAAAUCACGAUCUGAAUCAUUUUCCCUUCAUUUCGUUCUGAAUCGAAUCGCGUAUCGUACGUUUUGCCUUCGUUUUGUUCUGGAUCGAAUCGCGUAUGGCAAAUUUCAGAGUUAUUGAUUGAACUGAAGUUAGUUAUAUAAAGAAUCCUUCAUUCUGGAAAUCAAAGAGAAAAAGCAUGUCUAGCAGGCGAGUAAGUUUGAAGAUUGUGAUAGACAUGACUGAGAAGCAGAUUCUAUACCGGUGAAGCCGACAAGAAAUUCAUAGACUUCCUCUUCACCAUACUUUCUCUCCCUAUGGGAACUGUGGCUGAGUUGGUCGCCUACGGCCCACCCGACUUUGGCAUGGAUCACGUAAUAUCGUCCCUCGCAAACCUCUACCACAGCGUACACACCUUAAACACCGACUAUUUCGAAUCAAACACAGCCUCCUAUACCCCAUCCUUCCAUCCAGUACCACCAAAUCCCAGCUUGGAAACCUCUUGAAAAUCAAAUAUUCUUCUUCUCCACACACCAGCUAUUAUACAUGUUCUACUCCCAGCUCUCACUCUAGCUUUACCUCUACAUGUGCUGCAUUGUGUCCCAAAUGCUCCGAAUCCAUGAAGCAAGACCUAUGUCAAAGAAGUUCAUGGUCAUGGACGAUGAUCUUACUGUCAUUCCCAUCUCCUCCUCCUCCGCCCCCCUCUUGGAUAAGUUGCGUGCGGACAGAGCUGGCCACAUUCAAGAGAAGCUUGUUUAUUUGGACAUGGAAUUAGGACUCAGGUUGUACUCACGCACUUGUGCUCACUAAUGUGUUUUUUCCCAAGUUUUUCAGAUUUCCAACACAAUCUGUUCUGCAGGAAGGGGUUGCGAUGAAUUGUUGGCAAAGAUUUAAGAUCAACGUCUUUCUGCAGAAAGAAGGAACAAGAAAUCAAAGAUUAAAGAUGAACAUCUUUCAAACAAGGAGGCUAAGAUUAAAGAUGAAGAACUUCUUGUUAUCGACUAAACGCUAAUGAUUUAUCUUGGACCCCGGUCGUGCUUCUGGUUUCCAUUCCCAUCAUCAUAUUGAUGAUAAAUCUCCUCGUGCUCCGCCAUAAGAACUUGGAGUCCGUAUCAUGGUGAAGGUAAGGUAACGCUGUGAUUCUUGCUCAAAAAACAGACCGAAGGCGUUCGAGUUAUUGGCUCGUCCAACCCGGCAGCAUUCAUGAGUCGCUCGUUCAACUGUCCCUCGGAGACACGGUCGAGAAGUACCAUGCAUGGUUGCCCCCCGUCCUUUCUUUCUCUUGGUCCCACCCAGCAAGAUACGGGUCAGCCAAAAAAAAAAGGUGAGCGCCCCUUCCCUAAUGAUCGAGUCUUAGACGAGGUUCGAUAAUUAUUUCAUUUUUUAAUUUUUGUUUUUAAAAAUUGAGUCAAAAAACACUACUUUUUGACUACACCAGGAGUGAUGGACCAUAUAUCACUGAUAGAUUAAACCGUAGAUUAUAAAAUAAUUCAUUAAAGUAACAAUUUAGUUCAUAAACUUUAGUUUGUAACGAUU